rnacentral:rRNA from 1 species
UCAGCAGGCCCGCGGUAAUACGUAGGUGGCAAGCGUUGUCCGGAAUUAUUGGGCGUAAAGCGCGCGCAGGCGGUUCCUUAAGUCUGAUGUGAAAGCCCACGGCUCAACCGUGGAGGGUCAUUGGAAACUGGGGGACUUGAGUGCAGAAGAGGAGAGCGGAAUUCCACGUGUAGCGGUGAAAUGCGUAGAGAUGUGGAGGAACACCAGUGGCGAAGGCGGCUCUCUGGUCUGUAACUGACGCUGAGGCGCGAAAGCGUGGGGAGCAAACAGGAUUAGAUACCCUGGUAGUCCACGCCGUAAACGAUGAGUGCUAAGUGUUAGAGGGUAUCCACCCUUUAGUGCUGUAGCUAACGCAUUAAGCACUCCGCCUGGGGAGUACGCUCGCAAGA